rnacentral:rRNA from 1 species
GACGAACGCUGGCGGCGUGCUUAACACAUGCAAGUCGAGCGGUAAGGCCCUUUCGGGGGUACACGAGCGGCGAACGGGUGAGUAACACGUGGGUGACCUGCCUUUAGCUCUGGGAUAAGCCUGGGAAACUGGGUCUAAUACCGGAUACGACUCCGCGGUGCAUGCUGUGGGGUGGAAAGCCUUGUGCGGCUGGAGAUGGGCCCGCGGCCUAUCAGCUUGUUGGUGGGGUGAUGGCCUACCAAGGCCGACGACGGUAGCCGGCCUGAGAGGGCGACCGGCCACACUGGGACUGAGACACGGCCCAGACUCCUACGGGAGGCAG